UACGUAGGGUCCGAGCGUUAAUCGGAAUUACUGGGCGUAAAGCGUGCGCAGGCGGUGAUGUAAGACCGAUGUGAAAUCCCCGGGCUUAACCUGGGAACUGCAUUGGUGACUGCAUCGCUCGAGUAUGGCAGAGGGGGGUAGAAUUCCACGUGUAGCAGUGAAAUGCGUAGAGAUGUGGAGGAAUACCGAUGGCGAAGGCAGCCCCCUGGGUCAAUACUGACGCUCAUGCACGAAAGCGUGGGGAGCAAACAGG
rnacentral:rRNA from 1 species